rnacentral:lncRNA from 1 species
UUUCUCCUAGCUUGUUUAUGAAUUUUUCUUAAGAUUUUUAGAGUCUCCAGAUUUCCAGCCCAAUAUAGCAAAGAAAUAUAUUGAUCAGAAGUUUGUAUUGCAGCUUCUAGAGCUCUUUGACAGCGAGGAUCCUCGGGAGAGAGAUUUUCUAAAAACUACCCUGCACAGAAUCUAUGGGAAGUUCUUAGGCCUGCGCGCUUACAUCAGGAAACAGAUCAAUAAUAUAUUUUAUAGGUUUAUCUAUGAGACAGAGCAUCACAAUGGCAUAGCAGAGUUACUGGAGAUCCUGGGAAGUAUAAUUAAUGGAUUUGCCUUACCACUAAAGGAAGAGCACAAGAUUUUCCUGUUAAAGGUGUUGCUGCCCUUGCACAAAGUGAAAUCCCUGAGUGUCUACCAUCCCCAG